GCCUCUAUGGCGUAGUGGUAGCGCGUGUCACUUGUACAAUAAAAUAAUCACUACAAGAUCAUGACAAGGUCUCUCGUUCGAUCCGGGAUGGAGGCA